rnacentral:rRNA from 1 species
AGAGUUUGAUCCUGGCUCAGGAUGAACGCUAGCUACAGGCUUAACACAUGCAAGUCGAGGGGCAGCAUGGUCUUAGCUUGCUAAGGCUGAUGGCGACCGGCGCACGGGUGAGUAACACGUAUCCAACCUGCCGUCUACUCUUGGCCAGCCUUCUGAAAGGAAGAUUAAUCCAGGAUGGGAUCAUGAGUUCACAUGUCCGCAUGAUUAAAGGUAUUUUCCGGUAGACGAUGGGGAUGCGUUCCAUUAGAUAGUAGGCGGGGUAACGGCCCACCUAGUCAACGAUGGAUAGGGGUUCUGAGAGGAAGGUCCCCCACACUGGUACUGAGACACGGACCAGACUCCUACGGGAGGCAGCAGUGAGGAAUAUUGGUCAAUGGGCGCGAGCCUGAACCAGCCAAGUCGCGUGAGGGAUGACGGCCCUACGGGUUGUAAACCUCUUUUGUCGGGGAGCAAAUUCCGCCACGUGUGGCGGAGUCGAGAGUACCCGAAGAAAAAGCAUCGGCUAACUCCGUGCCAGCAGCCGCGGUAAUACGGAGGAUGCGAGCGUUAUCCGGAUUUAUUGGGUUUAAAGGGUGCGUAGGCGGACUGUCAAGUCAGCGGUAAAAUACGGGGGCUCAACCUCCGCCCGCCGUUGAAACUGACGGUCUUGAGUGGGCGAGAAGUAUGCGGAAUGCGUGGUGUAGCGGUGAAAUGCAUAGAUAUCACGCAGAACUCCGAUUGCGAAGGCAGCAUACCGGCGCCCAACUGACGCUGAAGCACGAAAGCGUGGGUAUCGAACAGGAUUAGAUACCCUGGUAGUCCACGCAGUAAACGAUGAAUACUAGCUGUCCCGGGGCGAAUGAAGCCCUGGGGGGGCACAGCGAAAGCGUUAAGUAUUCCACCUGGGGAGUACGCCGGCAACGGUGAAACUCAAAGGGAAUUAGACGGGGGGGCCCCGCACAAGCGGAGGGAACAUGUGGUUUUAAUUCGAUGAUACGCGAGGGAACCUUACCCGGGCUCAAACGACACAGGAACGUACCUGAAAGGGUUCGGCUCUACGGAGCCUGUGUCGAGGUGCUGCAUGGUUGUCGUCAGCUCGUGCCGUGAGGUGUCGGCUUAAGUGCCAUAACGAGCGCAACCCCCAUCGACAGUUGCUAACGGGUCAGGCUGAGGACUCUGUCGAGACUGCCGGCGCAAGCUGCGAGGAAGGCGGGGAUGACGUCAAAUCAGCACGGCCCUUACGUCCGGGGCGACACACGUGUUACAAUGGCAGGUACAGCGGGAAGCCACCUGGCGACAGGGAGCGGAACCCGAAAGCCUGUUUCAGUUCGGAUUGGAGUCUGCAACCCGACUCCAUGAAGCUGGAUUCGCUAGUAAUCGCGCAUCAGCCACGGCGCGGUGAAUACGUUCCCGGGCCUUGCACUCACCGCCCGUCA